UACGGAGGGAGCUAGCGUUGUUCGGAAUUACUGGGCGUAAAGCGCACGUAGGCGGCUUUGUAAGUUAGAGGUGAAAGCCUGGGGCUCAACCCCAGAAUUGCCUUUAAGACUGCAUCGCUUGAAUCCAGGAGAGGUGAGUGGAAUUCCGAGUGUAGAGGUGAAAUUCGUAGAUAUUCGGAAGAACACCAGUGGCGAAGGGCGGCUCACUGGACUGGUAUUGACGCUGAGGUGCGAAAGCGUGGAGAGCAAACAGG
rnacentral:rRNA from 1 species